CAUCCAUGGACCAUCUUCUAUUGUGGUUAAGUGAGUGCAAUGAACUUCAGAUCUGCACAUUCAGCGUCCUGACUCUUGAUUGUGGAAUUGCAAGCUGUUCACAUUGUUUUGGGUUUUUGGCUGCUCUACUUCCAUCAUCUCAGGUAUGGGAACAUCACGGAACAUGAAACUGCGGGUGGUCUUAUAAUUAAAUGCAGUUAGUCCAUGUGAAGAUAUCCAUCUCAUGUGAGUACAUUUAUAUUUUCUACCCCAGGUGUUAUUGCUUUGUCAUCUGUUGCCACACACCAGUUUAAUAAUGGAAUUGAAUCAGGUAGUGGAAUGGAAUGAAAUUAUUAAUAUUAUUUUUCAUAAUAAUUUAUUCUGGAUAUGAACUGAUUAAGAAGUUUGAUGUUUGUGUGCUAAUUGCAAGAAUUAAGUUGGCCCAUUGAAGGCAAUCAAAAAUUCAAGGAAAAAAAAAAUGGUAAUAAAUGAUAAUGAUAAUUCCUGCACUGACUGAUUCCAGACAACUUGCUUUGUUGAAGGUGUUUAGCAAGGUGUUAAAUAACAUCAUCUUCACCAUCAUUUGAUCUGCCUUCAUAGCAGUUCCCUUUGGUAGUGUUACCAUACCCUGCUUCCACAUAGGAAUAAUGGUUUGAAAUAAGAUUUGUUAUUAAUUUAUUUAUGAUGGUGUUUAGUAGUUUAGCUACAGAGGUCACUGAAUACAUAAAGAAAUGACCUUGGACAAAUCUUGGGAAAUGUGAUGUUAAGCCAGAUGAAAUUUUGUGUUCCAACCACAUGAGGGCAGUGUUGCGUUAUUUUUCAUUGGCAGUUUGAGUAGAUAUAAUACAGUAGAGUCAGUUUCUUAAAAAAGAAAAAAGAAAUGUCAGUGGACAAUUAAAUGUGACAGAGGCAGAUUAUAGCCCAAGGGCUAAUUCACAUCCGCAGUCUGCAGGAGUUUAUGUUACAAUCUUGAAAAAUUAUAAAAUGCAAAGGGACAGGUUGACAAACACACUUCAAAUAUAAUCACAACUACUACAGAUAACUAAUACACAACACAUUACUUGUGACAAAUUGUGACAGAGACAAAUAAGAUAAGAGAGAAGGAAAGGUACAUUUCCAUUGGUACAUAAAACUUUAUAUAUAAAAAAAAGUUAGGAGCUAAGAUUGCUGAUCAUUUGGAAAAAGUGAACAUAUGUUAGAAAGGAAAAGACAACUCUCAAAAGUAAAUAAAUCAACGAUUUUUUCAUAUAAUAUUAUAGUGGUUAUAGGUAUAUGUUUUUUUUUUUUAAUCCAAAACUUUUAGGGUUUGUAUACAAUAUAUCAUGGACAGUGUUGCUGUGUUUGCUUGAGACCAGGUUGUCAAACAAUAUAAAAUAGAAUGAAAAUACUAUUUGGCUGCCUCUGUAGUCAUUUGACAUGUAAUGAACUUAAAAUUGAUAAGAUUCGGUUUCACUAACUCAAUGCACUAUGUAUUUAAAAGAUUACGUUUAAGUCAAUAAUGGCCCCUAAGAAUUUGAAAUCUUUGUGAAAUAUCAUUUGAAAUAUCACGUCUUCAUCCUAACAAUUAUCUCAGGCUGCUGGGUAUUACUGGGUAUUACAAGUGAAGUACAUGCAAACAGUUUUUGUGAUACUUAAAGUUAAGCAGGAAUAGUCCAACCAGUCAAAGAUUUUGUUCAUAGCGCAUGUACGUUUGUAUCAUUUAUGUAUAUACUGAACAAAAAGGGGCCGAGGAUUGAACCUUGGGGCAACCCUCUGUAGAACAGACAUUAUUUGUGGAGAGCUUGCCUUUGACUGUGGUACAGUGUUUCCUGUUAGACAAAUAUGAUGUAAUCCACUUGAUCGUGCAUGGUGAAACAAUAUGUGUAGAUCAUUCGUAAACAAAAAUACUAUGAUAAACUGUGCCACAUGCUUUCUUCAAAUCAAGAAUCUUGUAUUGAACAGUGAAGAGCUAAAUGGUAACUCUUAAUAGAUGCGAACCAACAGGCACCUACACACACAGACCCAUUUGUAUUUGAAUGUGCACAUAUAUGUAGAUUACAAUGGGAAUGUUCUUUUUAUACAAUGUUAUAUGGGGA
ensembl:lncRNA